rnacentral:rRNA from 1 species
AAGAACCUUACCUGGUCUUGACAUCCCGCUGACCGGUAUAGAAAUAUACCUUUCCCUUCGGGGACAGCGGUGACAGGUGGUGCAUGGUUGUCUUCAGCUCGUGUCGGGAGAUGUUGGGUUAAGUCCCGCAACGAGCGCAACCCUUGAUCUUAGUUGCCAGCAUUUAGUUGGGCACUCUAAGGUGACUGCCGGUGACAAACCGGAGGAAGGUGGGGAUGACGUCAAAUCAUCAUGCCCCUUAUGACCUGGGCUACACACGUGCUACAAUGGAUGGUACAAAGGGCUGCAAGACCGCGAGGUUUANCCAAUCCCAUAAAACCAUUCUCAGUUCGGAUUGCAGGCUGCAACUCGCCUGCAUGAAGCUGGAAUCGCUAGUAAUCGCGGAUCAGCAUGCCGCGGUGAAUACGUUCCCGGGCCUUGUACACACCGCCCGUCACACCACGAGAGUUUGCAACACCCGAAGUCGGUGGGGUAACCCUUACGGGAGCCAGCCCCCGAAGGUGG